rnacentral:sRNA from 1 species
GCAGGGUGUGAUGGUGCAUGCCUGUAAUCCCAGCAGCUCGGGAGGCCGAGACAGGAGAAUCACGAGUUCAAAGCCAGCCUCAGCAACGGUGAGGUGCUAAGCAACUCAGUGAGACCCUGUCUCUA